rnacentral:rRNA from 1 species
AGCCAUGCAUGUUUCUGUCAAAAGGACAAAUAGCUCAGUAAAACUAGGUGAUCUAACCUCGGCAGCAGAUAACUUUGGGAAACUAAGGCUAAAGGCUGAGGGUGACGCCUAGCACUAUCAGCUAGUAGGUAGUGUAACGGACUACCUAGGCGGUGACGGUUAACGGGAUACGAGAGUGUGAUACCGGAGAGGGAGCCUGAGAAAUGGCUCCCACAUCCAAGGAUGGCAGCAGGCGCGAAAAUUGUCCACUCUUAUAGGAGACAGUUAUGAAAAGUAAAAACGGUAGGUCUUGUAAAGAAAGAUUCUAAAAUUGGAGGGCAAGUUUGGUGCCAGCAGCCGCGGUAAUACCAACUCCAAGAGUGUGUAUGGGAGUUGUUGCAGUUAAAAGGUCCGUAGUCGUUCAUGGAAAUAAGGCUUCGGCCUGUGCUCAAUGUGGAGGGGCUGAUGGGGACCAUAGUAUACAGGGGCGAGAGAUGAAAUGUCUAAACCCUCUGUGGACUCAGCGAGGCGAAAGCGGUGGUCUAGUAAGUACUCGGUGAUCAAGGACGAAGGGUAGAGGAGCGAAAGUGAUUAGAUACCGCUGUAGUUUUACCAGUAAAAGAUGCCGACUAUCCUGGCGUGCGCGGGCGAAAGCGAUGCGCAGGCUGGGAAUAGAGAAAUCGAUAAGUGUUCGGGCUCUGGGGAUAGUAUGCUCGCAAGAGUGAAAAUUAAAGAAAUU